GCAUGGGUGGCGGAAUGGUAGACGCAUAAGGUUGAGGUCCUUAUUGGUAGUUUCCAGUGAGAGUUCAAGUCUCUUCCCGUGCACCA
rnacentral:tRNA from 1 species